rnacentral:rRNA from 1 species
UACAGAGGUGGCAAGCGUUGUUCGGAAUUACUGGGCGUAAAGGGCGCGUAGGCGGCCAACUAAGUCGGAUGUGAAAUCCCGGGGCUCAACCCCGGAACUGCAUUCGAUACUGCCUUGCUCGAGUACUGGAGAGGAGACUGGAAUUUACGGUGUAGCAGUGAAAUGCGUAGAUAUCGUAAGGAAGACCAGUGGCGAAGGCGAGUCUCUGGACAGUUACUGACACUGAGGCACGAAGGCCAGGGGAGCAAACGGGG